rnacentral:rRNA from 1 species
CUUGCUAUGGUAUAACUUAGUGGCAGACGGGUGAGUAAUGUAUAGGAAUCUACCUAGUAGUACGGAAUAAUUGUUGGAAACGACAACUAAUACCGUAUACGCCCUACGGGGAAAAAUUUAUUGCUAUUAGAUGAGCCUAUAUUAGAUUAGCUAGUUGGUGGGGUAAUAGCCUACCAAGGUAAUGAUCUAUAGCUGAUCUGAGAGGAUGAUCAGCCACACUGGAACUGAGAUACGGUCCAGACUCCUACGGGAGGCAGCAGUGGGGAAUAUUGGACAAUGGGCGAAAGCCUGAUCCAGCCAUGCCGCAUGAGUGAAGAAGGCCUUUGGGUUGUAAAGCUCUUUUAGUGAGGAAGAUAAUGACGGUACUCACAGAAGAAGUCCUGGCUAACUCCGUGCCAGCAGCCGCGGUAAUACGGAGAGGGCUAGCGUUAUUCGGAAUUAUUGGGCGUAAAGGGCGCGUAGGCUGGUUAAUAAGUUAAAAGUGAAAUCCCGAGGCUUAACCUUGGAAUUGCUUUUAAAACUAUUAAUCUAGAGAUUGAAAGAGGAUAGAGGAAUUCCUGAUGUAGAGGUAAAAUUCGUAAAUAUUAGGAGGAACACCAGUGGCGAAGGCGUCUAUCUGGUUCAAAUCUGACGCUGAAGCGCGAAGGCGUGGGGAGCAAACAGGAUUAGAUACCCUGGUAGUCCACGCUGUAAACGAUGAAUGUUAAAUAUGGGGAGUUUACUUUCUGUAUUACAGCUAACGCGUUAAACAUUCCGCCUGGGGACUACGGUCGCAAGAUUAAAACUCAAAGGAAUUGACGGGG